GGUUAUCAAUUUUUGAGCCAGAUUCUGCUAACCAUUAAGCGAGGAGUUAAAACACCAAACAUCACUCUGGCGAAAAAUGAGACUAAAAAGUAGAGGGCAGCUUUCGAUCUCUCUCCCAGCGGACUCUGCUAUCGUUAAGCGUCCAAAUUCAACUCUCUAAAGGUGAAAUCCCAACAUUGACACAAAGUUCGAAACUCGGUAGAUAACCGAUCUGGCCGUUUUUCUGGUACGAAUGCCAAUUGAUUUCUUCAACAGAAUCUAGGUUGAAAUUUCUAGCUUAUUUGAUUUUGAUAUUCUGUUGUAUUUGAAAAGAAAGUAGCAAACAGUCUCGAUUAGGGAUCAGGUGAAAAGUCAUAUGUAGUCAUGUUUACAGAAAUUGUGAAUUUUCAUUAGUUGGGUAGAGAAUAGUACUCUGGCCCUAAGUUGAGAUUUCUAGCUUGUUUCAUUCGACUAUGCUCUUGUAUAGGAAAUAAUUAUACCCCUUAACAACAAACCAGCGCGCAACGACUGAAAAGCCGUUGUUGCUUUUGCUUGCAGACUCGAAAAUCUCUCUUUCGCCUCUCCUCCCUGUCUCAAUUCUGAUAGAUUAGCUUCUUCCUUCGUACAAGCUACUAUUUGUGAGUAACAAACACUUUUCUAUAGCAGACCGGGUGAAAAGUCAAAUGUAGUACUAUCAAGCAGUUUGAAACAGGGGAAAUAUAUUAUCAAAUGGUGAAUUUUCCCUUGUUAUCUACCUGUUAACCUUUAGAAUGUUAUAUUCCUUUGUGAAAAAAAGUUGAUCUCAUGUUUCUAUGUUUACCACUAUAUUUUGUCUAGUGGUAAGUGUGCCACCCCAGUUGCGUGGAUUAGACAUACAUCUUAAAGAUUACGACUAAUAGUCUUCGCAAACCCUUUGAAGUCAGGUGGAGGGUGGAAGAAGCACAUAUCAAGUUCCACAUGUCUUAGUUGCUGGAAUGUAAAAAGAUAGGUAAAUGAUAUUUGUUGCCUGAGAAUAUUUGAAGGGUGAAUUCCUAGACAUUUUUUUUGACAAGAAGAGCAUCUAGUAAUAAAUAUCAGGAAGACAUGUCAAAUUAGGACAUUGAACUGUAAAUUUUAGUAUUGGUACUUGAUGUAGUCGUAGGACUUGGUAAAUGAUUGUCUUGGCUUCUUGGUUGUCGUUGAAAGAUGUGAAAAACUAACUACAAAAAUCAAGUUCUGCACGUGUUACCCAUUUGUACCGCAAGUCUUUUGACAAGAUACUGGUCUUCAUUGUAUCUUUCAAAAGACAAGCUCCCUAGAAUUUUAUCCAGGACAUUACACGGCAAAUUGCUAAUUGUAGCACUCUUCAUGGUUUAAUACACACAUUUGCACACAACUCUAAUAAUUCAAAUUUGAAAUAAAGAAAAUAUCCAAAUUCUCAUAAUUACACAUUUCAACAAUGUAUGCAUAGUCUUUUAUAACUACUAGUUCACAUUUUCGAUUGCAUAGAAGUUUAUCAUUUUGCCAAUAUAGAAGGGAGAAAAUAAUUAAUGAUGAAUGAGAGAGUACCUGAAAAAUGUUGGUUGGAGACAAUAAUGGUGAAAGCAUGAAUUUAAUCUAGCAGAUUCAAUAAUGUGUGUAUAUAUAUACAUAAAAGGAUAUUUCACCUCAAUACACAAUACAUUUUUUUGGCGAGGGGGACUAGGAAGCUAUUUCCAUUUCUAGAAAAAGAUCUUGUAGAUAUCUAUUCUUUGCAAUUGGAAAACCUUCAUUAGAUCAAUUAGCUCAUUCUCAUCUUUGGAAUGUCAGCUAUUUCCAUUUCUUGAAAAAGAUUUUAUAGAAAUUUAUACUUAACAUAUGAGAUAUCUACUCUUGCAAAUUUUUUUCACCCAAAUCCACCCUGAUUACUAUCUAAAUUAUGAAUAGAUCGGAAGAAAGCAUAAAUAGGCCCCAAAAAUCAUUAGGAGUUCCGCCCCUACGACUUUUGUAUAGUGGUAAGUGUGCUGCCCAUGUUGCAUGGAUUAGACAUAUAUCUCGGGUUUGGGUUUGCAACCGAUGAAACCUACUAUUGAAGCCGAGAAGAAUACACAUCCAGAUUAUAGUCUUCUCAGCUUAAAUAGUAGGUUUCAUCAGUUGCAAACCACGAUUUAUGCCUAAUCCACGCAACACAGGCAACACACUUACCACUAGACAAAAACCCUAGGGGCGGAACUCCCAAGGAUUUUGGAGCCUAUGUCUGCUUACUUCCAAUUUGUUUAUAAUUCUAUAAUAAUCUGGGUGGAUUUUGGUAAAAAAAAAAAUUGUUAAAGUAGAUAUCUCAUAUGUUAAGUAUAGAUUUCUGUAAAAUCUUUUUAUAGAAAUGGAAAUAGUUGUCUGACGUUCCAAAGAUAGAGAAUGAGCUAAUUGCUCUAAUGUAGGUUUUGCCAAUUGCAAGAAUAGAUUUCUACAAGAUCUUUUUCUUGAAAUGGAUAUAACUUCCUUGGCUCCCCUCGCCAAAAAAAAAAGUGAUGUGCAUUUAGGUGAAAUAUCCUUAUAGUUGUAUAUACAUAUACAUUGUUAAAUCUUCUAGAUUAAAUUCAUGAAAGCACCAUUGUUGUCUCCAAUCAACAUUUUCCUCAUACCCUCGCAUUCAUCAUUAUUUUUCCCUCCGAUAAUGGCGAAAUGAUAAACCUCCAUCAAUUGAAAAAGUUGAACUAGCUAGUAGUUAUAUAAGACUAUGCAUACAUUGUUAAAAUGUGUAUUUAUGAGAAUUUGGAUAUUUUCUUUAUUCCAGAUCUGAAUUAUUAGAGUUGUCUACAAACUUGUGUAUUAAACCACGAAGAGUGCUACAAUUUGCCCUGUAAUGUCCUGGAUAAAAUUCUAAGGAGCUUGUCUUUGAAAGAUGCAGUAAAGACUAGUAUCUUGUCAAAAGACGGGAGGAACAAAUGGGUAACAUGUGCACAACUUGAUUUUCUUAGUGAUUUUUCACUUCUUUCAACAACAAUAAAGUAGCCAAGACAGUCAUUUACCAAGUCCUACGAAUCCAUCAAGGACCAAUACUAAAGUGUACCGCUCCAAGAUUAUCCUGAUAUCCCCCUAUUUGACGUGUUAUCUUGAUAUUUAUUACUGGAUGCUCUUCUUGUCAAAGAAAACUGUCUAGGACUUCGCUCUUCAAAUAUUCUCUGGCAACAAAUAUCAUUUACCUUCUUAUCUUUUUACAUUCCAGCAACUAAGACAUCUGGAACUUGAUAUGUGAUUCUUCCACCCUCCACCUGAUUUCAAAGGGUUAGCAAAGCCUAUUAGUCUGAAUCUUCAAAGUGUCAGUUUUGAUCCAACAAUAUUAAGGUAUCUCACAUCCAAAUGCCCAUUGCUUGAAAGUUUGAGGUUGACUAGGUGCGCCGAAUUUGAUAUUCUUGAAGUUGAUGCCGCCAAUCUCAAAUGCUUCGACUUUCUUGGAACAUCAGAGUCCAUUUGCUUCAAGAAUGCCCCGAUACUUAGAAGCGUCAUUGUGUGGCUCAACUCAAGUCACGAGUUUUGAUGGAUCCGUCACCUUUUUGUUCUAAUCUUACAAAGUUAUUCCAUUUACAUGUCUUCCAUGGAGGAACUGGAACUAGGCGGUUCAUCAGUAGAGGUUACUUGAUUACAAGCUGCCCUAAAUUACAAGAACUUACCAUUGAAUGUGGAGUAGUAGGCAUUGCUGUGGAAUCGAUCUGUUAUACAAUUCUUACGAGCCAAAUCAAUCUCGUGUGGUGCUGUGAAGCUGUGCAUUAUUUUAUUGGUUUUGAGAUGGAAAUGGAAUUUGUGAAAUUGAUAUUGGCAUCUACACCUGCACUGAAGGAGAUCUUUGAUGGAUGAGAUGAAACAAUUCCAUUGAGAAUCACCCAACGUUUUAGAUUCAAAUUUGAAGAAAUAUGUACAGGUCUGGAACUUGAUUUGUACUUAUUGAGGUAGAUUUGUCUUCAAUAUCAGCUUUCCCUUCAACAUCAAUCGAUGAAGUUAAUUUCUUAUAUGAUCAUCAAGUAAUUGAAAUAAUCUAUCAGUGUCACUUUUUUAAAUAAGAAAGUCAUUCGACUA